AUCNUGCUCAGGAUGAACGCUGGCGGCGUGCUUAUACAUGCAGUCGAGCGAACAGACGAGGAGCUUGCUCCUCUGACGUUAGCGGCGGACGGGUGAGUAACACGUGGAUAACCUACCUAUAAGACUGGGAUAACUUCGGGAAACCGGAGCUAAUACCGGAUAAUAUAUUGAACCGCAUGGUUCAAUAGUGAAAGACGGUUUUGCUGUCACUUAUAGAUGGAUCCGCGCCGCAUUAGCUAGUUGGUAAGGUAACGGCUUACCAAGGCAACGAUGCGUAGCCGACCUGAGAGGGUGAUCGGCCACACUGGAACUGAGACACGGUCCAGACUCCUACGGGAGGCAGCAGUAGGGAAUCUUCCGCAAUGGGCGAAAGCCUGACGGAGCAACGCCGCGUGAGUGAUGAAGGUCUUCGGAUCGUAAAACUCUGUUAUUAGGGAAGAACAAAUGUGUAAGUAACUAUGCACGUCUUGACGGUACCUAAUCAGAAAGCCACGGCUAACUACGUGCCAGCAGCCGCGGUAAUACGUAGGUGGCAAGCGUUAUCCGGAAUUAUUGGGCGUAAAGCGCGCGUAGGCGGUUUUUUAAGUCUGAUGUGAAAGCCCACGGCUCAACCGUGGAGGGUCAUUGGAAACUGGAAAACUUGAGUGCAGAAGAGGAAAGUGGAAUUCCAUGUGUAGCGGUGAAAUGCGCAGAGAUAUGGAGGAACACCAGUGGCGAAGGCGACUUUCNGGUCUGUAACUGACGCUGAUGUGCGAAAGCGUGGGAUCA
rnacentral:rRNA from 1 species